rnacentral:piRNA from 1 species
UGAGACUGUCUCAAAAAGGAAGAC